UGGGGAAUAUUGCGCAAUGGGCGAAAGCCUGACGCAGCGACGCCUCGUGAGGGAUGAAGGUCUUCGGAUCGUAAACCUCUGUCAAGAGGGAAGAAACCCUUGAGUUCGAACAGGGCUCUUGGCUGACGGUACCUCAAAAGGAAGCACCGGCUAACUCCGUGCCAGCAGCCGCGGUAAUACGGAGGGUGCAAGCGUUAAUCGGAAUCACUGGGCGUAAAGCGCUCGUAGGCGGUUUGGUCAGUCAGACGUGAAAGCCCACGGCUUAACCGUGGAACUGCGUUUGAUACUGCCAGACUUGAGUGUCGGAGAGGGUGGCGGAAUUCCGGGUGUAGGAGUGAAAUCCGUAGAUAUCCGGAGGAACACCAGUGGCGAAGGCGGCCACCUGGACGACAACUGACGCUGAGGAGCGAAAGCGUGGGGAGCAAACA
rnacentral:rRNA from 1 species